rnacentral:SRP_RNA from 1 species
CCGUGCUAGAUGGGGAGUUAGCGGUGCCCUGUAACCUGCAAUCCGCUAUAGCAGGGUCGAUGCUGUCGCCAGGUCGUCGCCGAGUAAUUGGGUUGGAUCAAGCAGUGUUGAAGUUUCAAUCUGUUGCAAUGGGCAGCAGGUAAAUCCCGUCAGGCCCGGAAGGGAGCAGCGGUAAGCCUUGCGACCCAUGUGCUGGCAGACAUCUGGAACUGAGCUGGCUGGUUCGGGUUAAAUUAUGUUCGGGAUGGUCAAACGACGGUGCACGG